rnacentral:rRNA from 1 species
GGGUUGUGAGGUUAAGCGACUAAGCGUACACGGUGGAUGCCCUGGCAGUCAGAGGCGAUGAAGGACGUGCUAAUCUGCGAUAAGCGUCGGUAAGGUGAUAUGAACCGUUAUAACCGGCGAUUUCCGAAUGGGGAAACCCAGUGUGUUUCGACACACUAUCAUUAACUGAAUCCAUAGGUUAAUGAGGCGAACCGGGGGAACUGAAACAUCUAAGUACCCCGAGGAAAAGAAAUCAACCGAGAUUCCCCCAGUAGCGGCGAGCGAACGGGGAGCAGCCCAGAGCCUGAAUCAGUGUGUGUGUUAGUGGAAGCGUCUGGAAAGGCGCGCGAUACAGGGUGACAGCCCCGUACACAAAAAUGCACAUAUUGUGAGCUCGAUGAGUAGGGCGGGACACGUGGUAUCCUGUCUGAAUAUGGGGGGACCAUCCUCCAAGGCUAAAUACUCCUGACUGACCGAUAGUGAACCAGUACCGUGAGGGAAAGGCGAAAAGAACCCCGGCGAGGGGAGUGAAAAAGAACCUGAAACCGUGUACGUACAAGCAGUGGGAGCACGCUUAGGCGUGUGACUGCGUACCUUUUGUAUAAUGGGUCAGCGACUUAUAUUCUGUAGCAAGGUUAACCGAAUAGGGGAGCCGAAGGGAAACCGAGUCUUAACUGGGCGUUAAGUUGCAGGGUAUAGACCCGAAACCCGGUGAUCUAGCCAUGGGCAGGUUGAAGGUUGGGUAACACUAACUGGAGGACCGAACCGACUAAUGUUGAAAAAUUAGCGGAUGACUUGUGGCUGGGGGUGAAAGGCCAAUCAAACCGGGAGAUAGCUGGUUCUCCCCGAAAGCUAUUUAGGUAGCGCCUCGUGAAUUCAUCUCCGGGGGUAGAGCACUGUUUCGGCAAGGGGGUCAUCCCGACUUACCAACCCGAUGCAAACUGCGAAUACCGGAGAAUGUUAUCACGGGAGACACACGGCGGGUGCUAACGUCCGUCGUGAAGAGGGAAACAACCCAGACCGCCAGCUAAGGUCCCAAAGUCAUGGUUAAGUGGGAAACGAUGUGGGAAGGCCCAGACAGCCAGGAUGUUGGCUUAGAAGCAGCCAUCAUUUAAAGAAAGCGUAAUAGCUCACUGGUCGAGUCGGCCUGCGCGGAAGAUGUAACGGGGCUAAACCAUACACCGAAGCUGCGGCAGCGACGCUGAUGCGUUGUUGGGUAGGGGAGCGUUCUGUAAGCCUGUGAAGGUGCGCUGUGAGGCAUGCUGGAGGUAUCAGAAGUGCGAAUGCUGACAUAAGUAACGAUAAAGCGGGUGAAAAGCCCGCUCGCCGGAAGACCAAGGGUUCCUGUCCAACGUUAAUCGGGGCAGGGUGAGUCGACCCCUAAGGCGAGGCCGAAAGGCGUAGUCGAUGGGAAACAGGUUAAUAUUCCUGUACUUGGUGUUACUGCGAAGGGGGGACGGAGAAGGCUAUGUUGGCCGGGCGACGGUUGUCCCGGUUUAAGCGUGUAGGCUGGUUUUCCAGGCAAAUCCGGAAAAUCAAGGCUGAGGCGUGAUGACGAGGCACUACGGUGCUGAAGCAACAAAUGCCCUGCUUCCAGGAAAAGCCUCUAAGCAUCAGGUAACAUCAAAUCGUACCCCAAACCGACACAGGUGGUCAGGUAGAGAAUACCAAGGCGCUUGAGAGAACUCGGGUGAAGGAACUAGGCAAAAUGGUGCCGUAACUUCGGGAGAAGGCACGCUGAUAUGUAGGUGAAGUCCCUCGCGGAUGGAGCUGAAAUCAGUCGAAGAUACCAGCUGGCUGCAACUGUUUAUUAA